AGGGGUGUAGCUCAGGGGUGAGAGCAGUUGUCUGAUGAGCAACAGGUCGAGGGUUCGAUUCCCUCUGCCCCUA
rnacentral:tRNA from 1 species